rnacentral:lncRNA from 1 species
AAGGAAAGCAGCCGAAUAGAUUUUGUGAAUCUGGAUUCUCCUACUUCAAAAUAAGACAUUCCGAAUGUAAAAUAUAGCUGCAUAUACAACAGGAUUAGGAAAAAGGUACUGGAUUCUCUUGAGGCUUCUUCCAUGAUUCAAUUAGGAAAAAGGUACUGAACAGGCUGAAGCUUUGUCAACCAAUCACUGGCAUGGUUCAUAACUUGAAGGUCACAGAACGGAAAUCUCCUGUGCACUUUGUGAUGGCCUCAUUAGCUU